AUCCAGACUCCUACGGGAGGCAGCAGUGGGGAAUAUUGCACAAUGGGGGAAACCCUGAUGCAGCGACGCCGCGUGAGCGAUGAAGUAUUUCGGUAUGUAAAGCUCUAUCAGCAGGGAAGAAGAUGACGGUACCUGACUAAGAAGCCCCGGCUAACUACGUGCCAGCAGCCGCGGUAAUACGUAGGGGGCAAGCGUUAUCCGGAUUUACUGGGUGUAAAGGAAGCGUAGACGGCGAUGCAAGCCAGAUGUGAAAGCCCGGGGCUCAACCCCGGGACUGCAUUUGGAACUGUGUGGCUGGAGUGUCGGAGAGGCAGGCGGAAUUCCUAGUGUAGCGGUGAAAUGCGUAGAUAUUAGGAGGAACACCAGUGGCGAAGGCGGCCUGCUGGACGAUGACUGACGUUGAGGCUCGAAAGCGUGGGGAGCAAACAGGAUUAGAUACCCUCGUACAU
rnacentral:rRNA from 1 species